rnacentral:rRNA from 1 species
CCUACGGGAGGCUGCAGUGGGGGAUCUUGCACAAUGGGGGAAACCCUGAUGCAGCGACGCCGCGUGGGUGAAGAAGUAUUUCGGUAUGUAAAGCCCUAUCAGCAGGGAAGAAAGAAGACGUUACCUGACUAAGAAGCCCCGGCUACCUACGUGCCAGCAGCCGCGGUAAUACGUAGGGUGCGAGCGUUAUCCGGAUCCACUGGGUGUAAAGGGAGCGUAGACGGCCGUGCAAGCCAGGAGUGAACGCCCGGGGCCCAACCCCGGGACUGCUCUUGGAACUGUGCGGCUGGAGUGCGGGAGGGGCAGGCGGAAUGCCUGGUGUAGCGGUGAAAUGCGUAGAUAUCAGGAGGAACACCGGCGGCGAAGGCGGCCUGCUGGACCGCGACUGACGUUGAGGCUCGAAAGCGUGGGGAGCGAACAGGAUUAGAUACCCCUGUAGUC